rnacentral:rRNA from 1 species
AACGGGUGGUAAUGCCGGAUGCUCCAGUUGAUCGCAUGGUCUUCUGGGAAAGCUUUCGCGGUAUGGGAUGGGGUCGCGUCCUAUCAGCUUGACGGCGGGGUAACGGCCCACCGUGGCUUCGACGGGUAGCCGGCCUGAGAGGGCGACCGGCCACAUUGGGACUGAGAUACGGCCCAGACUCCUACGGGAGGCAGCAGUGGGGAAUAUUGCACAAUGGGCGCAAGCCUGAUGCAGCGACGCCGCGUGAGGGAUGGAGGCCUUCGGGUUGUAAACCUCUUUUAUCGGGGAGCAAGCGAGAGUGAGUUUACCCGUUGAAUAAGCACCGGCUAACUACGUGCCAGCAGCCGCGGUAAUACGUAGGGUGCAAGCGUUAUCCGGAAUUAUUGGGCGUAAAGGGCUCGUAGGCGGUUCGUCGCGUCCGGUGUGAAAGUCCAUCGCUUAACGGUGGAUCCGCGCCGGGUACGGGCGGGCUUGAGUGCGGUAGGGGAGACUGGAAUUCCCGGUGUAACGGUGGAAUGUGUAGAUAUCGGAAAAGAACACCA